CCUACGGGGGGCAGCAGUGGGGAAUUUUGGACAAUGGGCGAAAGCCUGAUCCAGCAAUGCCGCGUGCAGGACGAAGGCCUUCGGGUUGUAAACUGCUUUUGUACGGAACGAAACGGUCUACCCUAAUACGGUGGGCUAAUGACGGUACCGUAAGAAUAAGCACCGGCUAACUACGUGCCAGCAGCCGCGGUAAUACGUAGGGUGCGAGCGUUAAUCGGAAUUACUGGGCGUAAAGCGUGCGCAGGCGGUUAUGUAAGACAGAUGUGAAAUCCCCGGGCUCAACCUGGGACCUGCAUUUGUGACUGCAUAGCUAGAGUACGGUAGAGGGGGAUGGAAUUCCGCGUGUAGCAGUGAAAUGCGUAGAUAUGCGGAGGAACACCGAUGGCGAAGGCAAUCCCCUGGACCUGUACUGACGCUCAUGCACGAAAGCGUGGGGAGCAAACAGGAUUAGAUACCCGGGUAGUC
rnacentral:rRNA from 1 species